rnacentral:rRNA from 1 species
CGGAGGGUGCAAGCGUUAUCCGGAUUCACUGGGUUUAAAGGGUGCGUAGGUGGGCAAGUAAGUCAGUGGUGAAAUCUCCGGGCUUAACCCGGAAACUGCCAUUGAUACUAUUUGUCUUGAAUACUGUGGAGGUCAGCGGAAUAUGUCAUGUAGCGGUGAAAUGCUUAGAUAUGACAUAGAACACCAAUUGCGAAGGCAGCUGGCUACACAAAUAUUGACACUGAGGCACGAAAGCGUGGGGAUCAAACAGGAUUAGAUACCCUGGUAGUCCACGCCCUAAACUAUGGAUACUCGACAUUUGCGAUAAACUGCAAGUGUCUGAGCGAAAGCAUUAAGUAUCCACCUGGGAAGUACGAUCGCAAGAUUG